UGGCGGACGGGUGAGUAAUGUCUGGGAAACUGCCUGAUGGAGGGGGAUAACUACUGGAAACGGUAGCUAAUACCGCACAACGUCGCAAGACCAAAGAGGGGGACCUUCGGGCCUCUUGCCAUCGGAUGUGCCCAGAUGGGAUUAGCUAGUAGGUGGGGUAACGGCUCACCUAGGCGACGAUCCCUAGCUGGUCUGAGAGGAUGACCAGCCACACUGGAACUGAGACACGGUCCAG
rnacentral:rRNA from 1 species